rnacentral:rRNA from 1 species
GACGAACGCUGGCGGCGUGCUUAACACAUGCAAGUCGAACGGAAAGGCCCUGCUUUUGUGGGGUGCUCGAGUGGCGAACGGGUGAGUAACAUGUGAGUAACCUGCCCUUGACUUUGGUAUAACUUCAGGAAACUGGGGCUAGUACCGGAUAGGAUCUCCUGCUGCAUGGUGGGGGUUGGAAAGUUUCGGCGGUUGGGGAUGGACUCGCGGCUUAUCAGCUUGUUGGUGGGGUAGUGGCUUACCAAGGCUUUGACGGGUAGCCGGCCUGAGAGGGUGACCGGCCACAUUGGGACUGAGAUACGGCCCAGACUCCUACGGGAGGCAGCAGUGGGGAAUAUUGCACAAUGGGCGGAAGCCUGAUGCAGCAACGCCGCGUGCGGGAUGACGGCCUUCGGGUUGUAAACCGCUUUCGCCUGUGACGAAGCGUGAGUGACGGUAAUGGGUAAAGAAGCACCGGCUAACUACGUG